rnacentral:tRNA from 1 species
GCCACUUUAGCUCAGUCGGUAGAGCGACGCAUUCGUAAUGCGUAGGUCGGGGGUUCGAGUCCCCUUAGUGGCU